rnacentral:rRNA from 1 species
AUGCCUCGUCAUCUAAUUAGUGACGCGCAUGAAUGGAUUAACGAGAUUCCUACUGUCCCUAUCUACUAUCUAGCGAAACCACAGCCAAGGGAACGGGCUUGGAAUAAUUAGCGGGGAAAGAAGACCCUGUUGAGCUUGACUCUAGUCUGGCAGUGUAAGGAGACAUAAGAGGUGUAGCAUAAGUGGGAGAUAUAUUAGUUUCGGCUAAAUAUAUCAAAAAUGAAAUACCACUACUCUUAUUGUUUCCUUACUUACUUGAUAAAAUGGAACGUGUAUCAUUCACUUAGCUAUUACACGGAUAUAUUUAUAUAUUUUAUGGUAUUUUGUUUUGAUGCGAGCUUCUUGUUUAAAGUACCAAGAGUUUGUUAUAUACACCAAACAAAUAUCAAUUAAAUUUACUUUCCAUUAAUAAUGGUUUGUUAAAUAUUAUUUGAAUUUGGUAUAACUAUUAUACUCAGGUAUGAUCCAAUUCAAGGACAUUGCCAGGUGGGGAGUUUGACUGGGGCGGUAC